AGUGAAUGUGGAUGUAUUUUGCCGAAAGGAAUGCAAGUAGUACCGCUUCUGGACACAAUGACAUGUUAAAUGUCCGACCAAAGCGGCACACGACAACAGAAUUUAAAAACCAGAAAGUUGUUCUCAAACUAUAUACAAGACUGGAUUUCUUCUCCCAAAUUACUCCCUAUAUGAGAAGAAAGAUGAAAAGUGCACUGUGGUGAAAACCAGGUCAACGUUUGGUUGGGGUGGAAUUUUCCUAUAACCAGAGCCCCAGAUCUCAUUCCUGCAGUGAUAUCACCCAAUUGCUGUUGAGCUAAAGGGCUAAUGAUGAAUUAACUGGUGUCGUUCAAGACUUCUACUCCUUCGAUCCUGAGCCACAUUUGCCGGAAGUGGAACCACCAAUCGUGCAUGCAGUCUGGUCAGCCCGGCUGGUCAGCGAGGAACUUGGAAAGCUUUCAUCAGGAGGUGAUGGCGCGGGUCAUGCGAAUAGGAGAAUGUUGCUUGGAAGGCAUCGGGAAGUGUGGUUAUCUUACGUUAAGAUGAGGUCUGACGUCAUUUUUGACUGGCCAAUCAGAUUUUCCACUUGAGAGGACCCAGUUUUAUAAUCAGGCAGCAAGGUGACUUUUUAUCAAAUGAACUAUAGGUAUCAGUAUCUGAAUAUUGGAACAUUAACCCCAGUUACCUAACGUAAAUGUCUGCCAUUUCAUCUCUUCUACAUGUAGUCACCACAGGCGGAGACGCCUAAAAGGAGCGCCCGAUUUUUUUAAUUGAUGUUUUAAAGGAAUUGGGAAGAAAAAUAGUUUGCCGGCGUAAAUGGUGGGAUAUUGCAUUCAUAACUUAUGGGUAUAAAAACUCUUUGCUGAAAACAGAUAUUACGCUCUUUUUAAAAAGAUUUCCUCAUACUAUAGUUUUUCAGAGAGUUACAAACAUCAGUUUAUAAUAUGAGUAUUAUUAUAAACAAAACGACAAGAGUAUGAU